rnacentral:rRNA from 1 species
AGAGUUUGAUCCUGGCUCAGGAUGAACGUUGGCGGCGUGCCUAACACAUGCAAGUCGAACGGGAUUCGCCGUUUUCGGAUGGCGAUGAGAGUGGCGAACGGGUGAGUAACGCGUAACUGAUCUGCCCUGGAGACCGGGACAACGUUGGGAAACCGGCGCUAAUACCGGAUGAAGUCGAUGUGGUUGGGUUCAUGUCGACCAAAGGCUUCGGCGCUCUGGGAGGGGGUUGCGAUCCAUCAGCUAGUUGGCGGGGUAAAGGCCUGCCAAGGCGAUGACGGAUAGGGGAUCUGAGAGGGUGUUCCCCCACACUGGGACUGAGACACGGCCCAGACUCUUACGGGAGGCAGCAGUGAGGGAUAUUGCACAAUGGACGGAAGUCUGAUGCAGCGACGCCGCGUGAGCGAAGAAGGUUUUCGGAUCGUAAAGUUCUUUUCUGCGUGACGAGGUAGGACGGUAGCGCAGGAAUAAGUGUCGGCUAACUACGUGCCAGCAGCCGCGGUAAAACGUAGGACGCGAACGUUAUCCGGAGUUACUGGGCGUAAAGGGCGGUCAGGCGGUUGCGCAAGUUGCUUAUGAAAGUUGCUGGCUAAACUGGCGAAUAGUGGGCAAAACUGUGCGACUAGAGAGAGACAGAGGGCAGUAGAAUUCCGGGUGUAGUGGUGAAAUGCGUAGAUAUCCGGAGGAAUACCGGCGGCGAAGGCGGCUGCCUGGGUCUCAGCUGACGCUGACCCGCGAAAGCGUGGGUAGCGAACGGGAUUAGAAACCCCGGUAGUCCACGCUGUAAACGAUGCACAUUAGGCGUUCGGUUGCGCUUAGGCGCAAUUGAGUGUCGCAGCAAACGCGAUAAAUGUGCCGCCUGGGGAGUACGGUCGCAAGGCUAAAACUCAAAGGAAUUGACGGGGGCCCGCACAAGCAGCGGAGCGUGUGGUUUAAUUCGAGGCGACGCGAAGAACCUUACCUGGGUUUGACAUCAUGGUAGUACGGAAGCGAAAGCGGAAGGGCCCUUCGGGGAGCCAUGACAGGUGCUGCAUGGCUGUCGUCAGCUCGUG